GCUCAGUUGGUAAAGCACAAGGCUCUUAACCUUGUGGACGUGGAUUCAAGUUCCAU
rfam:Triticum aestivum genome assembly, contig: Triticum_aestivum_CS42_TGACv1_scaffold_642390_T_6BS-0.065977_5DL-0.065227